UACGAAGGGGGCUAGCGUUGUUCGGAAUUACUGGGCGUAAAGGGCGCGCAGGCGGCCCUCCAAGUCAGGCGGUGAAAGCCCCGGGCUCAACCCGGGAACAGCGCUUGAGACUGGGGGGCUUGAGUUCGGGAGAGGGAGAGUGGAAUUCCCAGUGUAGAGGUGAAAUUCGUAGGAUAUUGGGAAGAACACCGGUGGCGAAGGCGGCUCUCUGGACCGACA
rnacentral:rRNA from 1 species